GUACUUCUGACGAGUCCCAAAGUAGCGGGACGAAACAGCUGGCUGUCCAGUAC
rnacentral:hammerhead_ribozyme from 1 species